rnacentral:rRNA from 1 species
ACGAACGCUGGCGGCAGGCUUAACACAUGCCGGUCGAACGCCCCGCAAGGGGAGUGGCCGACGGGUGAGUAACGCGUGGGAAUCUACCCAUCCCUACGGAAUAACGCAUGGAAACGUGUGCUAAUACCGUAUACGCCCUACGGGGGAAAGAUUUAUCGGGGAUGGAUGAGCCCGCGUUGGAUUAGCUAGUUGGUGGGGUAAAGGCCUACCAAGGCGACGAUCCAUAGCUGGUCUGAGAGGAUGAUCAGCCACAUUGGGACUGAGACACGGCCCAAACUCCUACGGGAGGCAGCAGUGGGGAAUAUUGGACAAUGGGCGCAAGCCUGAUCCAGCCAUGCCGCGUGAGUGAUGAAGGCCUUAGGGUUGUAAAGCUCUUUCACCGGAGAAGAUAAUGACGGUAUCCGGAGAAGAAGCCCCGGCUAACUUCGUG